UACGGAGGGUCCAAGCGUUAUCCGGAUUUAUUGGGUUUAAAGGGUGCGCAGGCGGGAGAUUAAGUCGGCGGUGAAAUUUUGCAGCUCAACUGUAAAAGUGCCUUCGAAACUGGUUUCCUUGAGUGUGGAUGAAGUAGGCGGAAUUUGUGGUGUAGCGGUGAAAUGCAUAGAUAUCACGAGGAACUCCGAUUGCGCAGGCAGCUUACUAAACCAUAACUGACGCUCAGGCACGAAGGCGUGGGGAUCAAACAGGAUUAGAUACCCGUGUAGU
rnacentral:rRNA from 1 species